AGAAUGAACGUUGGCGGCGUGGAUUAGGCAUGCAAGUCGUACGGGGCCGCAAGGUACCCGUGGCGCAAGGGUGAGUAAUGCGACGGUAACUUACCCCAGGGCUGGCCAUAGCCGCGGGAAACCGCGGGUAAUUGCCAGCGACGUGGCCGGGGGCAUCUCCUGGCCACCAAAGGUGUGAUUCCGCCCUGGGACGGGCCGUCGUGGUAUUAGGUAGUUGGCGGGGUGAUGGCCCACCAAGCCUCUGAUGCCUACCGGGCGUGCGAGCGUGGCCCGGCACACUGGGACUGAGACACUGCCCAGACUCCUACGGGAGGCUGCAGUCGAGAAUCUUCGGCAAUGGGCGCAAGCCUGACCGAGCGACGCCGCGUGGAGGACGAAGGCCUUCGGGUUGUAAACUCCUGUCGAGGGGAGGAAGGGCGGCGAGAGUCGUCCUUGACCGCUCCCUGGAGGAAGCACGGGCUAAGUUCGCGCCAGCAGCCGC
rnacentral:rRNA from 1 species